CAAAAAUAAUCUCGCUAGUAUUACUUGUUAAAUUAUUUCGAAUUGAAUUCGGAUUAAAUUUCUACCAGAGUUAUAAAACGGUCAAAAUACCUCUUUUGUUGUGGCGAUAAAGGAUAUAUAUGUUUGAAAAGUUAAAAGGCAAAAUAUUUUUUCUGCUCUUAAUUUAAGGAUAAAUAAAAAAAGUAUAUGACGAUAGAAUGAUAUAUUUAAAAGGGCAAUAUAGUAAUUUUACAGAAAUUACGGCUAAUCUUAAUAAUUCACUAAUAGAAUCUAAAUUUAGAGCUAUAUUUGAAAGAAUUUGAAACUUUAAAAUAUAUUUUUUUAUAUUAACUUUUUAAGCAGGAUAAAUAAGAAAGUCUGAAAUUUUGUAAAGACGUAUAAAUAAUUGCCCAUAUAAAUUUUAGUUAUC
rnacentral:lncRNA from 1 species